ACCACACGGCGUGACGGGUAGCUGGCGUGAGAGCGCGAUCAGCCACACUGGGACUGAGACACGGCCCAGACUCCUACGGGAGGCAGCAGUGGGGAAUCUUGCCAAUGGGCGAAAGCCUGAUGCAGCGACGCCGCGUGGGGGAGGAAGGCCUUAGGGUUGUAAACCCCUGUCAGGAGGGAAGAAACUCGGGUCGGCGAACAGCCGGUUCGAUUGACGGUACCGCCAGAGGAAGCUCCGGCUAACUACGUGCCAGCAGC
rnacentral:rRNA from 1 species